rnacentral:rRNA from 1 species
AACGAACGCUGGCGGCAUGCCUAACACAUGCAAGUCGAACGAGACCUCCGGGUCUAGUUGCGCACGGGUGCGUAACGCGUGGGAACCUGCCCUUAGGCUCGGAAUAACUCUCCGACAGGGGUGCUAAUACCGGAUAAUGUCCUCGGACCCCAGAUUGAUCGAACUUGUAUGGGCAGGCGUUGGAUUAGCUUGUUGCUAGGGUAAAAGCCUACCAAGGCUUCGCUCCAUAGCUGGUCUGAGAGGAACAUCAGCCACACUGGGGCUGAGGCACGGCCCAGACUCCUACGGGAGGCAGGAGUGGGGGAUAUAGGACUAUCGGGUAAGGCCUGAUGCAGCUAGGCUGCGUGAGUGAUGAAGGUCUUAGAGUUGUGAAGCUCGUUUACCCGGGACGAUAAUGACGGUACCGAAAGAAUAAGCACCGGCUAACUCCGUG